rnacentral:rRNA from 1 species
GACGAACGCUGGCGGUGUGCUUAACACAUGCAAGUCGAACGGAAAGGCCCUGCUUUUGUGGUGUGCUCGAGUGGCGAACGGGUGAGUAACACGUGAGUAACCUGCUCUUGACUUUGGGAUAACUUCAGGAAACGGGGGCUAAUACCGGAUAGGAGCUCCUGCUGCAUGGUGGGGGUUGGAUAGUCGCGGCGGUUGGGGAUGGACGCGCGGCUUAUCAGCUUGUUGGUGGGGUAGUGGCUUCCCAAGGCUUUGACGGGUAGCCGGCACGAGAGGGUGACCGGGCACAUGGGGCCUACGGGACGCACCAGACGGGAACGUUGGGCAACGGUGGCGAAUAUUACCCAGUGGGCCGGAGCCUGAGGAGGCGACGUCGCGGUUGGGAAGACGGCCUUCUGGGUAAGAACAGCUUUCGCCUGAGACGCCGCGUGUGUGACGGUACUGGAUGAAGAAGCACCGGCUAACUACGUG